rnacentral:rRNA from 1 species
CGGCAUGCCUAAUACAUGCAAGUCGAUCGGAUGUAGCAAUACAUUAGAGGCGAACGGGUGAGUAACACGUAUCCAAUCUGCCUUAUAGUGGGGGAUAACUAGUCGAAAGAUUAGCUAAUACCGCAUAACAAGUUAACUAUCGCAUGAGAAUAACUUUAAAGAAGCAACUGCUUCGCUAUAAGAUGAGGGUGCGGCAUAUCAGCUAGUUGGUGAGGAUAAUGGCCCACCAAGGCGAUGACGUGUAGUUAUGCUGAGAGGUAGAAUAACCACAAUGGGACUAAGACACGGCCCAUACUCCUACGGGAGGCAGCAGUAGGGAAUUUUUCACAAUGGACGAAAGUCUGAUGGAGCAAUGCCGCGUGAACGAUGAAGGUCUUUUUAGAUUGUAAAGUUCUUUUAUUUGGGAAGAACAGUUAAUAGAGUGGAAAGCUAUUAAUUUGACUGUACCAUUUGAAUAAGUAACGACUAACUGCCAGCAGUCGCGGUAAUACAUAGGUUGCAAGCGUUAUCCGGAUUUAUUGGGCGUAAAACAAGCGCAGGCGGAUUAGAAAGUCUGGUGUUAAAAGCAAUUGCUUAACGAUUGUAUGCAUUGGAAACUUCUAGUCUAGAGUUUGGUAGAGAGUCCUGGAACUCCAUGUGGAGCGGUGAAAUGCGUAGAUAUAUGGAAGAACACCAGAGGCGAAGGCGAGGACUUGGGCCAAUACUGACGCUUAGGCUUGAAAGUGUGGGGAGCAAAUAGGAUUAGAUACCCUAGUAGUCCACACUGUAAACGAUGGAUGUUAAGUGUCGGAGCGAAUACUUCGGUGCUGCAGUUAACACAUUAAACAUCCUGCCUGAGUAGUACAUUCGCAAGAAUGAAACUCAAACGGAAUUGACGGGGACCCGCACAAGUGGUGGAGCAUGUUGCUUAAUUCGACGGUACACGAAAAACCUUACCUAGACUUGACAUCUUGGGCGAAGCUAUAGAAAUAUAGUGGAGGUCAACCCAAUGACAGGUGGUGCAUGGUUGUCGUCAGCUCGUGUCGUGAGAUGUUGGGUUAAGUCCCGCAACGAGCGCAACCCUUAUCGUUAGUUACUUUGUCUAACGAGACUGCCAACGUAAGUUGGAGGAAGGUGGGGAUGACGUCAAAUCAUCAUGCCCCUUAUGUCUAGGGCUGCAAACGUGCUACAAUGGCCAAUACAAUC